AUUGAAUUCAUAAUAUACGGUGCCGUGGAGCUUUUUUUGUUUGAAAAGCAGACAUGUGUUAAAAGGGAAGCAGGUGGAAGUCCUGCACGAUCUCGUCACUGUAAGCCGGGAGUAUACAUUCGAUAUCGGAAGAUAACCACUGGCCGCAAGGCUGGGAAGGGGAAUGUGUAUGAGGAUCGGUAAGUCAGGAAACCUGCCGUGUAUUGGUACAGGAA
rnacentral:ncRNA from 2 species